rnacentral:snRNA from 1 species
GGAUGUGAGGGCGGUCUGGCUGUGACAUCUGUCAUCCCAGUGAUCGCCAGGGUUGAUUUGGCUGAUCUGGCUGGCUAGGCAGUCCCUCGCCRCUCUAUGUGCAUCCCUCUCGAAGCUACAUGCUCAGUGGAAGAGGACAACGUUCCCUGAUAGAGAAGUACCAUUCGUGGGUCAAGGGUACGUGGUAGCUGCACUCCCCUGCUAGAACCUCCAAACAAGUUCAUUUUGUGAUCUGAUCAGCAUGUAUACCUGAGGGGAGAAGGUAAAGGGGAUGGGGCUAAACUCUUG